AUUGAACGCUGGCGGCAGGCCUAACACAUGCAAGUCGAACGGUAACAGGAAACAGCUUGCUGUUUCGCUGACGAGUGGCGGACGCGUGAGUAAUGUCUGGGAAACUGCCUGAUGGAGGGGGAUAACUACUGGAAACGGUAGCUAAUACCGCAUAACGUCGCAAGACCAAAGAGGGGGACCUUCGGGCCCCUUGCCCUCGGAUGUGCCCAGAUGGGAUUAGCUAGUAGGUGGGGUAACGGCUCACCUAGGCGACGAUCCCUAGCUGGUCUGAGAGGAUGACCAGCCACACUGGAACUGAGACACGGUCCAGACUCCUACGGGAGGCAGCAGUGGGGAAUAUUGCACAAUGGGCGCAAGCCUGAUGCAGCCAUGCCGCGUGUAUGAAGAAGGCCUUCGGGUUGUAAAGUACUUUCAGUGGGGAAGAAGAGAGUAAAGUUAAUACCUUUGCUCAUUGACGUUACCCGCAGAAGAAGCACCGGCUAACUCCGUG
rnacentral:rRNA from 1 species